rnacentral:rRNA from 1 species
GACGAACGCUGGCGGCGUGCCUAAUACAUGCAAGUAGAACGCACAGUUUAUACCGUAGCUUGCUACACCAUAGACUGUGAGUUGCGAACGGGUGAGUAACGCGUAGGUAACCUGCCUGGUAGCGGGGGAUAACUAUUGGAAACGAUGGCUAAUACCGCAUAAUAUUAAUUAUUGCAUGAUAAUUAAUUGAAAGGUGCAAUUGCACCACUACCAGAUGGACCUGCGUUGUAUUAGCUAGUAGGUGAGGUAACGGCUCACCUAGGCGACGAUACAUAGCCGACCUGAGAGGGUGAUCGGCCACACUGGGACUGAGACACGGCCCAGACUCCUACGGGAGGCAGCAGUAGGGAAUCUUCGGCAAUGGACGAAAGUCUGACCGAGCAACGCCGCGUGAGUGAAGAAGGUUUUCGGAUCGUAAAGCUCUGUUGUAAGAGAAGAACGGGUGUGAGAGUGGAAAGUUCACACUGUGACGGUAUCUUACCAGAAAGGGACGGCUAACUUCGUG